rnacentral:rRNA from 1 species
AACGAACGCUGGCGGCAUGCUUUACACAUGCAAGUCGAACGGUAACAGGGUGCUUGCACCGCUGACGAGUGGCGAACGGGUGAGUAAUGCGUCGGAACGUGCCGAGUAGUGGGGGAUAACGCAGCGAAAGUUGUGCCAAUACCGCAUACGUACUGAGGUAGAAAGUGGGGGACCUUCGGGCCUCACGCUAUUCGAGCGGCCGACGUCUGAUUAGCUAGUAGGUGAGGUAAGAGCUCACCUAGGCGACGAUCAGUAGCGGGUCUGAGAGGAUGGUCCGCCACACUGGGACUGAGACACGGCCCAGACUCCUACGGGAGGCAGCAGUGGGGAAUUUUGGACAAUGGGCGCAAGCCUGAUCCAGCCAUGCCGCGUGUCUGAAGAAGGCCUUCGGGUUGUAAAGGACUUUUGUCAGGGAGGAAAUCCUAGUGGCUAAUAACUACUGGGGAUGACAGUACCUGAAGAAUAAGCACCGGCUAACUACGUGCCAGCCGCCGCCGUAAGAC